rnacentral:rRNA from 1 species
UACGUAGGGCGCAAGCGUUGUCCGGAAUUAUUGGGCGUAAAGGGCGCGUAGGCGGGCUGCCAAGUCUGGGGUGAAAUCCUCCGGCUCAACCGGAGAACGGCCUGGGAUACUGGCGGCCUCGAGGGAGGUAGGGGCAUGCGGAACUAUGCGUGGAGCGGUGAAAUGCGUUGAUAUGCAUAGGAACUCCGGUGGCGAAGGCGGCGUGCUGGGCCUCUUCUGACGCUGAUGCGCGAAAGCCAGGGGAGCGAACGGG